UAUAGGGCUGCGCCGGUUCCUAUAGGGCCGCUGUACUUCCUAUAGGGCCGCUCUGCUUCCUAUAGGGCCUCGCCGGUUCCUAUAGGGCCGCUCCAGUUCCUAUAGGGCCGCUGUACUUCCUAUAGGGUCGCGCCGGUUCCUAUAGGGCCGCUCCUCUUCCUAUAGGGCCGCUCCAGUUCCUAUAGGGCCGCGUGGGUUCCUAUAGGGCCGCUCCGGUUCCUAUAGGGCCACGCCAGUUCCUAUAGGGCCACUCCGGUUCCUAUAGGGCCGCGCGGGUUCCUAUAGGGCCGCUCCAGUUCCUAUAGGGCCGCGCCAGUUCCUAUAGGGCCGCACCGGUUCCUAUAGGGCCACUGCACUUCCUAUAGGGCUGUGCUGCUUCCUAUAGGGCCGCUCCAGUUCCUAUAGGGCCGCGCCAGUUCCUAUAGGGCUGCGCCGCUUCCUAUAGGGCCGUGCCGGUUCCUAUAUGGCCGCUGUACUUCCUAUAGGGCCACGCCAGUUCCUAUAGGGCCGCUCCUCUUCCUAUAGGGCCUUGCCGGUUCCUAUAGGGCCGCUGUACUUCCAAUAGGGCCGCGCUGGUUCCUAUAGGGCCACACCGGUUCCUAUAGGGCCACUCUGCUUCCUAUAGGGCCGCUCCGGUUCCUAUAGGGUCGCUGUACUUCCUAUAGGGCCGAUCCGCUUCCUAUAGGGCCACGCCGGUUCCUAUAGGGCCGCUCCACUUCCUAUAGGGCUGUGCCGGUUCCUAUAGGGCUGCUCCGCUUCCUAUAGGGCCGCGCUGCUUCCUAUAGGGCCGCUCCACUUCCUAUAGGGCCGUGCUGGUUCCUAUAGGGCCGCGUCGGUUCCUAUAGGGCCGCGCCGGUUCCUAUAGGGCCGCUCCUUUCUCACCCUACAGCCUCCACCCCAAAUCCCAGCGAACCCACAGCGCUGAGCCCUGGAGCAGCAAAACUCAUCACAGGUAACGGCCCUAUAGGGUCACCAGCCCUUAUAGGGUCACCAGCCCUUAUAGGGUCAGCCAGCCCCUAUAGGAUUGCACACCCAUAUAGGGUCAUCAACCCUUAUAGGGUCACCAACCCUUAUAGGGUCAGCCAGCUCUUAUAGGGUCACCAACCCUUAUAGGGUCAGCCAGCCCUUAUAGGGUCAGCCAGCCCUUAUAGGAUCACCAACCCUUAUAGGGUCACCAACCCGUAUAGGGUCAGCCAGCCCCUAUCGGGUCACCAACCCUUAUAAGGUCAGCCAGCCCUUAUAGGGUCAGCCUGUCCUUAUAGGGCCACCAGCCCUUAUAGGGUCAGCCAGCCCUUAUAGGGUCACCAACCCUUAUAGGGUCAGCCAUCCCUUAUAGGGUCACCAACCCUUAUAGGGUCACUAGCCCUUAUAGGAUCGCACACCCAUAUAGGGUCAUCAACCCUUUUAGGGUCAGCCAGCCCUUAUAGGGUCAGGCAGCCCCUAUCGGGUCACCAGCCCUUAUAGGGUCACCAACCCUUAUAGGGUCAGCCAGCCCCUAUAGGAUCA
rnacentral:lncRNA from 1 species